rnacentral:tRNA from 1 species
GCCACCUUAGCUCAAUUGGCAGAGCAGCGGUUUUGUAAACCGCAGGUUGCCGGUUCAAGUCCGGCAGGUGGCU